CAUUUUUUUAUCUGUAUAUAUCUGUAUUAUACUUUACAUAAAACACACACACACACACACACACAAUAUAUGUCAAUACCCUAUACCUUUUUUGGUAUUCAGCAAUUGAAAUUAUGUAUUUUUUUUUAGAAUAUCCAUUGUGCUUUCACUUUUUGUCUUCAGAAUGUGAUAAACUAUGAAGGGAAACAGAUUUUUCUAAUUUGAAUGUAGUGCCUCUGAGUCUGGUGGAUCUUAAUAUUUAAGCAAUUCUGCCUUAAAUCCACAGGGAAUGUGAACGUGUCAUUAUUUGCUGAAAACAUUGUUUGAGACACAGCCCACUGUAUUAUCCAUCUAAAGGUAUCCAUUAAACUGGAUUUUCCUUUACUAAGGUCUCCUAAUGUGAGACAUUAAAAGCAAUAUAAAUGUUUGUAGGACUUUGUGUGUGGUUGCUAAGUAAUAAGACAAGCAGAAUAUAACUGCAGGUGUCAGUCACCUUAUAUGACUGUUUGUUCUUAGAACCUAAUAGUAAUUACUAACAGGAUGCAAUGCAUGUUUUGUGCAGUUUGUGUGUUUGACAGUAAAUAGUACCUGAUUGACUGCUGAAUUAGUAACUGGGUGUGCCUGAUUGGAUUACAUGAGACAGACUUACAGGAACUGAAUGAAGAUUGAAACUUGUGUUCCAAGAUUGUAUGUAAUUGUUGUUUAUAUAUCUCAUAUCAUCUGACCAAUUUUGUCUAUUUAUUUUCUUUUUUCACAGCUGUAGCCACAUCCCCCACAAGCACAGACUUAACCAGUGAUGCAACAGACAGCCCAAUCACUGAUACUGCUGCAGUAACAAGCAUUUCAUCUGAGAAUAUAACUACACCAUUCGCAAACAAUGCCACAACCUCACUGCUGUCAACGCAUGAUGCUAGUAAUGUCCCAUCUCCACCUUUAUCUACUCAAGGCGACGUGACAAGCUUAUCUACAGUUGUACCAGAAAAUUCUACCAGUUCAUCAGCGAUUACACCAGGAAAUGCCACAGCUUCACCUGCACCUCUAACAACAGAAGCCAGCACCACAAGUCCACUUGUGCCUACACCAGAGAAUGCUACAAACCAUCCUGUAACUUCACCAGACAAUGACACAACUGGUUCUUUACCUGAGCCAGGCAACAGCACAACCCCACUCCAAACUACAAGAAGCAAUGACACUCCUCCUUCCAUUAGCACACCAAGCAACAGUACAGCUUCACCAAUUACAACACCAAGCAAUGUCACAAUUACAACACAGACUACACCAAUUAAUGCUACAACAGCAAACCAUGCCACAACUCCACCCUUAACCACAUAUAUUUCAAAUCAAAAUACACCAGGGAAUAAUGCAACGGUAAAUGCUACCAUACCACCUUUGACUACACCAGUUGAUGCAACUGCACCACCUCCAACUACAACAGGGAACAAUGCAAUAGUAAACGCUACCACACCACCCACAACUACACAAGAAAAUAAUGCAACAGUAAACAUUACUACACCACCCAUGAUUACACCAGGAAAUAAUGCAACAGUAGACAGUACCACACCACCCAUAACUACACCAGUAAAUGCAACUGCACCAACUCCAGCUACAACAGGGAACAAUUCAAUAGUAAACGCUACCACACCACCUAUAACUACACAAGAAAAUAAUGCAACAGUAAACAUUACUACACCACCCAUGACUACACCAGGAAAUAAUGCAACAGUAGAGAGUACCACACCACCCAUAACUACACCAAUAAAUGGAACUGCACCACCUCUAACUACACCAGGGAACAAUGCAACAGUAAAUAAUAGCACACUGCCCAUAACUACACCAGAGAAUAAUGCAACAGUAAACGUUACCACACCACCCAUAACUACACCAGUAAAUGCUACUACACCACCUCUAACUACCCCAGGGAACAAUGCAACAGUAAAUAAUAGCACACUGCCCAUAACUACACCAGAGAAUAAUGCAACAGUAAACGUUACCACACCGCCCAUGACUACACCAUUAAUUACUACUAUACCACCUUUAACUACACCAGGGAAUAAUGCAUCAGUAAAUGGCACCACACCACCCAUAACUACACUUGAGAAUAAUGCAACAGUAAACAUUACCACAACACCCAUGACUACACCAGUAAAUGCUACUAUACCACUUUUAACUACAUCAGAGAAUAAUGCUACAGUAAAUGCUACUACACCACCCAUAACUACACCAGGGAACAAUGCAACAG
ensembl:lncRNA